rnacentral:rRNA from 1 species
GGUUAAGUCAGGCAACGAGCGAGACCCACGCGAGCAGUUGCCAGCUUGACCUUCGGGUUGAUGGGGACACUGCUCGGACCGCCUCUGCUAAAGGGGAGGAAGGAAUGGGCAACGGUAGGUCAGCAUGCCCCGAAUUAUCCGGGCUACACGCGGGCUACAAUGGAUAGGACAAUGGGUUUCGACACCGAGAGGUGAGGACAAUCUCCUAAACCUAUCCGAAGUUCGGAUUGCGGGUUGUAACUCACCCGCAUGAAGCUGGAAUCCGUAGUAAUCGCGUUUCAACAUAGCGCGGUGAAUAUGUCCCUGCUCCUUGCACA